rnacentral:lncRNA from 1 species
GUAUGAAGCCACAAAAUUUGUGACUCUACUUUGUGUACAACUAGAGAUAUAAAAAAUUGUUCUCCUUAUAUGUAAUAUGAAUUUUAAAGCAUUCUGUUGUUAUAUAUAACAAUUUUUUUUCAAAAUAUAAAAAAAUGUAUACAUACAAAAAUGUAGACAGUGGUUAUUAGGUCAUUAAGUUGUGUCCUAUUUUAAGCCAUUCUCAACAUCUUACUCAUAUAUAAAGGUUUUCUUAAAAAUUUUAUAACUCACUUUAAAAAGAAAUUAAAAACUACAUUCAAAGAUGAUAAAACUUGACAAUACUAGAUUUGGGUUGUUGAGUUAUUUUCUUGCAUUGAUAAUAUGGCUUAUUUUGAACAUAAAGUGUUGUCUAGUGAAAGCAUUGAGCCUUUACAAGUACUUUCUGUCUGCUAAAAGUUCCCUACAUUGUGGGAACAAAUUUUUACUCCUCACACUUCAGAUAGAGCCCUAAUAUCCAGAGUAUACAAAGAACUCAAAAAAUUAAACAAUAAGAUAACAAAUAACCCAAUCAACAAAUGAGCCAAGGACCUGAACAGACACUUCUCAGAGGAGGACAUACAAUCAAUCAAUAAGUACAUGAAAAAAUGCUCACC